rnacentral:rRNA from 1 species
GACGAACGCUGGCGGCGCGCCUAAUACAUGCAAGUAGAACGCUGAAGAGAGGAGCUUGCUCUUCUUGGAUGAGUUGCGAACGGGUGAGUAACGCGUAGGUAACCUGCCUGGUAGCGGGGGAUAACUAUUGGAAACGAUAGCUAAUACCGCAUGACAUUGAUUAUCGCAUGAUAAUUGAUUGAAAGAUGCAAUUGCAUCACUACCAGAUGGACCUGCGUUGUAUUAGCUAGUUGGUGAGGUAACGGCCCACCAAGGCGACGAUACAUAGCCGACCUGAGAGGGUGAUCGGCCACACUGGGACUGAGACACGGCCCAGACUCCUACGGGAGGCAGCAGUAGGGAAUCUUCGGCAAUGGGGGGAACCCUGACCGAGCAACGCCGCGUGAGUGAAGAAGGUUUUCGGAUCGUAAAGCUCUGUUGUAAGAGAAGAACGGGUGUGAGAGUGGAAAGUUCACACUGGACG